GUUCAUAAGUCAGUGGUGUAGAGGAUAAUCUCUGCCAGCACGGAAAAUUCCAAAGCACUGACUUACUGUUUCAGACGUGGGGAAAACAAACAAACAAACAAACAAACAAAUAAAUGGUUCCAGCUGAUUUAGAGAAAUCGAUCGCUGUGGAAUGCAAGGACGAUCGAGAAGUCUCUGCACACACAGAUAAAGAAGACAAAGGGGAACAUCUUGAUGUCUGUCACAUUCCAGGCAUUCCGUUGUAGUUUUUUUCCUGUCCCAAAUGGCAGGGUUUGAGUAGGCAAGAAGGUGCAUCCUACUGGUAAG
rnacentral:lncRNA from 1 species